GGUGACUCAGUGGUAGAGUGCUUGCCUUGCAUGCAUGAGGCCCUGGGUUCAAUUCCUCAGUACCA
rnacentral:tRNA from 1 species